AGGGAGGCGAGAGGGGGGAGGGAGGGCCAGAGAGCCGAUGGGGGAGGGAGGGCCAGAGAGCCGAUGGGGGGAGGGAGGGCCAGAGACAUCCAGGCGAUGAGGGCGUGUCCACAGAGCCCAGCCGCGCUCCAGAGGCGGGCAGACCAAAGCAUGGCGAGCCACGCCCGGAUCACUCCAGGUCGGGGAGGAAAAAGAGACAGGCAGAGGAGAGGAGCAGCGAGUCCCUGAGGAAGGACGUUCCUCUGGACGGCCGGCACCUCGACUCCUCGCACAGGAGCGAGAACGCAAAGUCAGGGCAGGACGGAGACGACCCUAGGCACGGGGGUAAACCGAACGCCGUCGAGAAGGAAGCACCCCCCCGUGGAGCACCGACGGAGAACCCCCUCUGGGAAGGGGUGACGAAGGUGAGGAACCCCCAGAGGAAGACCAUCAGCAUCAACAUCAACCUUACCCAGCUGGAGGAGGUCCAGAAGGUGGCUGAGUCUCACCCGACGGCCGGCAGCUCGGUCGAAGAAGUGCGAAUGGACGCCGGAGAUGAAAACGAGGACACGCCCAUAGUGGAGGACGGGGAGGAAGUGGUGGACGACAACAGAGGAGUAAAACAACUGACCACCGUCCGGAGAGCCGCCGAGGCACCCGUUUGUGGAGGAGAGGCGAUGAAGAUGAUGGAGAAGAAGAGGAGCAGGAGAGCUGAUGGAGGCAAGGUAUUGGAGGAGGAGGAGGAGAAGGAGGAGUCGAGGGCAGGAGCGAGGAAGAGGCGGGGUGAGGAGCACGGGGAGGUGGGCGCGGAGAGGACCAAAGCCCCUGGAAGAAGAAGCCAAAGCACCUCAGCUCCCGGGGAAACGCCAAUCCAUGCUAGGAGGGAUCGAAGCGAGGGCCGCCAGGACAGGAAGAGGAAGACCCUGGAGAACCACAGUAGCCAGGACGGCUUCCUCCACCCCGAGGACACGGCGGCCCCCGUGAAGGUCCGCUCCAGGUGGGCGCCGCUGGAGGCGGGGGACGAGGCCCCCAGGGGAAGGAGGAGCCGGCGUCCGCGAGGCUCGUCUCACGCGACGCCCCAGCGCGCCCCGCCCCGCCCCGCCCCGUCCCCGUCCCCGCGCCGACCAAGAGGACCGUCGCUAGAGACGGGGUCGCCCCGGAGGACGGGGCCAGAGCACCGCGGGGGCGGGAGGCCGAGGGGGGGAGGGAGAGGGAGGCGGGCAGGGGGAGGUCCGGGGGCGGGGGGAGGGGGAGGCGAGGGCGGCAGAGACCAGAGGAGGAGAACCACGGAGAGCGAGCGGGCGAGCGGCGGGACGGAGAAGAGAGGUCCCCACUCCUCCUCCUCCUCCUCCUCCUCGCGGACCGCCGGCGGCGCGAGGGGCCGGGAGCCCGAGGACGGCGCCGCCGCCGGCCCCGGGCCGUCCCAGUCCCAGCCCUCGUCCCGCUCCUCCUCCUCCUCCUCGUCCUCGCUCUCCCAGCCCGACGGCGUUCCCCGCCCGCCGGCCGCCGCGGCGGGCGUCUCCGGCGCCGACGGCGGCGGGGAGUCGCGGGCGCCGUGACCCCGACGCCACGGCGUCCCGCCGUGACGGGAAGGCCCCCGCGGCCCGCUGGGACGCGCCCUCGGCCACGCCCCGGGACGGCGUGGCCGGGGAAGAACAACAACGGCCGCACCACCGCCGCCACCGCCACCAUCAUUCACCGCAGCAUCGUCGUCACCGCGACGACCACCAGGAGCACCAGCCCGUCCGAGAGCAGAGGGACCCCCGCAGCCCGGCAGAGGGCCCCGAGAGGAGGGACCCGCGCCCCCCCUCCUCCCAGCGCCCCGGAGCGGACCCCCACGGCGCCGGGGCCGCACGGGGGCCGCCGGACAAGCCCCGGCUGGACGUGUUCUCCGGGGGGCGUAACGCUCUCCUGCGGCCCCGGAAGCCCAUCGACAUCAAGAUCAUCAGCGGGGCGUCGCUGUUCCAGCAGAACAGGGUCUAGGAGCCAAUCACAGACCAGCUCCCUUAAUAGGGGCGGGGUCAUUAGUGUUUACACCAACAGCGCCCUCACAUGGCGAGGAGUGGGAUGAUGAUAGUAUACGAUACAAUAUGGGAACAACGCAAGGAAAAAAAAAAGAGUUUUGUUUGAGAAUGUGUUUGCCAUGUGUAGGUGCAACUUUUUGUUGUUACUUUAGAAACCCGCUGCUUGUAGAUUUUCGUGUUGAAGAAUGUUGCAAAGGAGAAGAAAAAUGAACUAACAAUCAGUAACAGGGAACCAUUUGUUUACGGUUGGUUCUAACCAACUAGCCUUAGUUCUAGAGUGGGCUUGGCCUGUUUGUUUAAUUUAUAUUGUAAUUUAUUUAUUUUUUCAUUUCUAUUUUAACAAUGCCAAGCUCAUUUCCUCGCCUCCGCAUUGGUGCCUUGAUUGAAGCACUAGCCAAAAUGAUCCUUACUUGAAUAACAGGACGGUGUGUAUGUAUUUAUGGUGCAGAUUUAUUUACUCAUGACGAACGUUUACUAUUUAUUUCUCUCAAAGUAGGUUUGGGAUCGGCGGGACAGACGAAAGCGUUGUGCCCAUGAAUGGGGUAAGAAUAAUUCUUGACUGAGUAGCAGAGUGGGAAGCCCUUUGUAGUAUGAACGUUCAUGUACUGUGAUGUCAGCCGUCAAGCCUGAUUUUGUGAGCGUCCGAUACUGCAACAUCACAGCUUUAAUUGCCUUAAAUAUGUACGAGUAAAUCUACAUCGUUGUUCUCGAUGGAGGGGACUUUGAGGUCCUGAAAGAUUGCGUGGAUUUUGCUGCUGUUAUGAAAUGUGCACUGUGAAUUUAUAAUUUCUUUAACCCUCUGCCUACUAUAAUUUUGUGAUUUUUUCGUUUAAAAUCAAACACGCUGUGUGGAUGGAUAGCUUACCAAAAUGUGUUGGACUCUUUCUUUCUGGUCAGAAAUAAAUACAAAAUCUACCAACAAUAAUGA
ensembl:lncRNA